rnacentral:tRNA from 3 species
CGCGGGGUGGAGCAGCCCGGUAGCUCGUCAGGCUCAUAACCUGAAGGUCGUAGGUUCGAAUCCUACCCCCGCAACCA